GUGGGAGGCUUUGAAGUGUGGACGCCAGUCUGCAUGGAGCCGACCUUGAAAUACCACCCUUUAAUGUUUGAUGUUCUAACGUGGGCCCCUAAUCGGGGUUGCGGACAGUGUCUGGUGGGUAGUUUGACUGGGGCGGUCUCCUCCUAAAGAGUAACGGAGGAGCACGAAGGUUGGCUAAUCCUGGUCGGACAUCAGGAGGUUAGUGCAAUGGCAUAAGCCAGCUUGACUGCGAGCGUGACGGCGCGAGCAGGUGCGAAAGCAGGUCAUAGUGAUCCGGUGGUUCUGAAUGGAAGGGCCAUCGCUCAACGGAUAAAAGGUACUCCGGGGAUAACAGGCUGAUACCGCCCAAGAGUUCAUAUCGACGGCGGUGUUUGGCACCUCGAUGUCGGCUCAUCACAUCCUGGGGCUGAAGUAGGUCCCAAGGGUAUGGCUGUUCGCCAUUUAAAGUGGUACGCGAGCUGGGUUUAGAACGUCGUGAGACAGUUCGGUCCCUAUCUGCCGUGGGCGCUGGAGAACUGAGGGGGGCUGCUCCUAGUACGAGAGGACCGGAGUGGACGCAUCACUGGUGUUCGGGUUGUCAUGCCAAUGGCACUGCCCGGUAGCUAAAUGCGGAAGAGAUAAGUGCUGAAAGCAUCUAAGCACGAAACUUGC
rnacentral:rRNA from 1 species